UUAAGCGACUAAGCGUACACGGUGGAUGCCCUGGCAGUCAGAGGCGAUGAAGGACGUGCUAAUCUGCGAUAAGCGUCGGUAAGGUGAUAUGAACCGUUAUAACCGGCGAUUUCCGAAUGGGGAAACCCAGUGUGUUUCGACACACUAUCAUUAACUGAAUCCAUAGGUUAAUGAGGCGAACCGGGGGAACUGAAACAUCUAAGUACCCCGAGGAAAAGAAAUCAACCGAGAUUCCCCCAGUAGCGGCGAGCGAACGGGGAGCAGCCCAGAGCCUGAAUCAGUGUGUGUGUUAGUGGAAGCGUCUGGAAAGGCGCGCGAUACAGGGUGACAGCCCCGUACACAAAAAUGCACAUGCUGUGAGCUCGAUGAGUAGGGCGGGACACGUGGUAUCCUGUCUGAAUAUGGGGGGACCAUCCUCCAAGGCUAAAUACUCCUGACUGACCGAUAGUGAACCAGUACCGUGAGGGAAAGGCGAAAAGAACCCCGGCGAGGGGAGUGAAAAAGAACCUGAAACCGUGUACGUACAAGCAGUGGGAGCACGCUUAGGCGUGUGACUGCGUACCUUUUGUAUAAUGGGUCAGCGACUUAUAUUCUGUAGCAAGGUUAACCGAAUAGGGGAGCCGAAGGGAAACCGAGUCUUAACUGGGCGUUAAGUUGCAGGGUAUAGACCCGAAACCCGGUGAUCUAGCCAUGGGCAGGUUGAAGGUUGGGUAACACUAACUGGAGGACCGAACCGACUAAUGUUGAAAAAUUAGCGGAUGACUUGUGGCUGGGGGUGAAAGGCCAAUCAAACCGGGAGAUAGCUGGUUCUCCCCGAAAGCUAUUUAGGUAGCGCCUCGUGAAUUCAUCUCCGGGGGUAGAGCACUGUUUCGGCAAGGGGGUCAUCCCGACUUACCAACCCGAUGCAAACUGCGAAUACCGGAGAAUGUUAUCACGGGAGACACACGGCGGGUGCUAACGUCCGUCGUGAAGAGGGAAACAACCCAGACCGCCAGCUAAGGUCCCAAAGUCAUGGUUAAGUGGGAAACGAUGUGGGAAGGCCCAGACAGCCAGGAUGUUGGCUUAGAAGCAGCCAUCAUUUAAAGAAAGCGUAAUAGCUCACUGGUCGAGUCGGCCUGCGCGGAAGAUGUAACGGGGCUAAACCAUGCACCGAAGCUGCGGCAGCGACGCUGAUGCGUUGUUGGGUAGGGGAGCGUUCUGUAAGCCUGCGAAGGUGUGCUGUGAGGCAUGCUGGAGGUAUCAGAAGUGCGAAUGCUGACAUAAGUAACGAUAAAGCGGGUGAAAAGCCCGCUCGCCGGAAGACCAAGGGUUCCUGUCCAACGUUAAUCGGGGCAGGGUGAGUCGACCCCUAAGGCGAGGCCGAAAGGCGUAGUCGAUGGGAAACAGGUUAAUAUUCCUGUACUUGGUGUUACUGCGAAGGGGGGACGGAGAAGGCUAUGUUGGCCGGGCGACGGUUGUCCCGGUUUAAGCGUGUAGGCUGGUUUUCCAGGCAAAUCCGGAAAAUCAAGGCUGAGGCGUGAUGACGAGGCACUACGGUGCUGAAGCAACAAAUGCCCUGCUUCCAGGAAAAGCCUCUAAGCAUCAGGUAACAUCAAAUCGUACCCCAAACCGACACAGGUGGUCAGGUAGAGAAUACCAAGGCGCUUGAGAGAACUCGGGUGAAGGAACUAGGCAAAAUGGUGCCGUAACUUCGGGAGAAGGCACGCUGAUAUGUAGGUGAGGUCCCUCGCGGAUGGAGCUGAAAUCAGUCGAAGAUACCAGCUGGCUGCAACUGUUUAUUAAAAACACAGCACUGUGCAAACACGAAAGUGGACGUAUACGGUGUGACGCCUGCCCGGUGCCGGAAGGUUAAUUGAUGGGGUUAGCCGCAAGGCGAAGCUCUUGAUCGAAGCCCCGGUAAACGGCGGCCGUAACUAUAACGGUCCUAAGGUAGCGAAAUUCCUUGUCGGGUAAGUUCCGACCUGCACGAAUGGCGUAAUGAUGGCCAGGCUGUCUCCACCCGAGACUCAGUGAAAUUGAACUCGCUGUGAAGAUGCAGUGUACCCGCGGCAAGACGGAAAGACCCCGUGAACCUUUACUAUAGCUUGACACUGAACAUUGAGCCUUGAUGUGUAGGAUAGGUGGGAGGCUUUGAAGUGUGGACGCCAGUCUGCAUGGAGCCGACCUUGAAAUACCACCCUUUAAUGUUUGAUGUUCUAACGUUGACCCGUAAUCCGGGUUGCGGACAGUGUCUGGUGGGUAGUUUGACUGGGGCGGUCUCCUCCUAAAGAGUAACGGAGGAGCACGAAGGUUGGCUAAUCCUGGUCGGACAUCAGGAGGUUAGUGCAAUGGCAUAAGCCAGCUUGACUGCGAGCGUGACGGCGCGAGCAGGUGCGAAAGCAGGUCAUAGUGAUCCGGUGGUUCUGAAUGGAAGGGCCAUCGCUCAACGGAUAAAAGGUACUCCGGGGAUAACAGGCUGAUACCGCCCAAGAGUUCAUAUCGACGGCGGUGUUUGGCACCUCGAUGUCGGCUCAUCACAUCCUGGGGCUGAAGUAGGUCCCAAGGGUAUGGCUGUUCGCCAUUUAAAGUGGUACGCGAGCUGGGUUUAGAACGUCGUGAGACAGUUCGGUCCCUAUCUGCCGUGGGCGCUGGAGAACUGAGGGGGGCUGCUCCUAGUACGAGAGGACCGGAGUGGACGCAUCACUGGUGUUCGGGUUGUCAUGCCAAUGGCACUGCCCGGUAGCUAAAUGCGGAAGAGAUAAGUGCUGAAAGCAUCUAAGCACGAAACUUGCCCCGAGAUGAGUUCUCCCUGACUCCUUGAGAGUCCUGAAGGAACGUUGAAGACGACGACGUUGAUAGGCCGGGUGUGUAAGCGCAGCGAUGCGUUGAGCUAACCGGUACUAAUGAACCGUGAGGCUUAACCUU
rnacentral:rRNA from 1 species